GAUGAACGCUGGUGGCGUGCCUAAUACAUGCAAGUCGAGCGAACAGAUGAGGAGCUUGCUCCUCUGACGUUAGCGGCGGACGGGUGAGUAACACGUGGAUAACCUACCUAUAAGACUGGGAUAACUUCGGGAAACCGGAGCUAAUACCGGAUAAUAUAUUGAACCGCAUGGUUCAAUAGUGAAAGACGGUUUUGCUGUCACUUAUAGAUGGAUCCGCGCCGCAUUAGCUAGUUGGUAAGGUAACGGCUUACCAAGGCAACGAUGCGUAGCCGACCUGAGAGGGUGAUCGGCCACACUGGAACUGAGACACGGUCCAGACUCCUACGGGAGGCAGCAGUAGGGAAUCUUCCGCAAUGGGCGAAAGCCUGACGGAGCAACGCCGCGUGAGUGAUGAAGGUCUUCGGAUCGUAAAACUCUGUUAUUAGGGAAGAACAAAUGUGUAAGUAACUAUGCAUGUCUUGACGGUACCUAAUCAGAAAGCCACGGCUAACUACGUG
rnacentral:rRNA from 1 species